rnacentral:rRNA from 1 species
AACGAACGCUGGCGGCAUGCCUAACACAUGCAAGUCGAACGAGACCUUCGGGUCUAGUGGCGCACGGGUGCGUAACGCGUGGGAACCUGCCCUUAGGUUCGGAAUAACUCCCCGAAAGGGGCGCUAAUACCGGAUAAUGUCUUCGGACCAAAGAUUUAUCGCCUUUGGAUGGGCCCGCGUUGGAUUAGCUAGUUGGUAGGGUAAAAGCCUACCAAGGCGACGAUCCAUAGCUGGUCUGAGAGGAUGAUCAGCCACACUGGGACUGAGACACGGCCCAGACUCCUACGGGAGGCAGCAGUGGGGAAUAUUGGACAAUGGCGAAAGCCUGAUCCAGCAAUGCCGCGUGAGUGAUGAAGGCCUUAGGGUUGUAAAGCUCUUUUACCCGGGAUGAUAAUGACAGUACCGGGAGAAUAAGCUCCGGCUAACUCCGUG